rnacentral:rRNA from 1 species
CACGCUGUAAACGAUGAAUACUAGGUAUCGGGGCAACUCGGUGCCGCAGUUAACACGAUAAGUAUUCCGCCUGUGGAGUAUGCACGCAAGUGUGAAACAUAAAGGAAUUGACGGGGGCCCGCACAAGCGGUGGAGUAUGUGGUUUAAUUCGACGCAACGCGAAGAACCUUACCUGGACUUGACAUCCCCUGAAUGACUCGUAAUGGAGGAAGCCCUACGGGGCAGGGAGACAGGUGG